CUGAACUCGAGAGGAUGAAUCAAUUUCAACCAAUGAAGUUGUUCAACGGAAGAAGACCUUACAUGAGAUUUCCGUAAAUGUUCGGGAAGAAAAACACCCUACACAUUUUCCAAUUUAUCCACGAAAUGUAAUUUCCCUAUGCUGAAAAGAUACUGUAAUGAAAUAGCAGGGAGAAGGUCUCGAACCCUCGACCUUCUAGCCUGAGGUCCGGCGCGCUAUCGACUGUGCCGCAAAAGCAUGCUCAAGCGGCAGAAUCGAUUUCCGUGCUUAUAAACCCAGGGUCGUUACAAUACAUGACAUUGAGGGCUACAUUUUCACACUGUGGGUACCACUGUGGGCACCCAAUCGUCACCCUGUAUUUGACAUGACGUAGAACGAGGAGGCGUAGCGUCAACACAACCACCACCACCGAACCAUAUGCGUCUUCGCGUCCUGCCUGGAUACAGUUCUGGGUUAGAAGAUGCCGAGCGGCAURAUGCGCCUUAUUUGACAAAUUGUAUAUUUUCUGAUGAUAUCAUUGACCAUCGGUGACGCACUUUUGUGGUCCUAUACUCCUAGCUUUAGCUGUCAAUGUCCACCAUUCGUUUGGUCGUUUUUUAUUUUUACAUUUCAUACCAGUAUGUUCCCUUCGUGCUAUUCAAAGCCGACGAGUUCAAAGGACCUGUUCAAAAGGACUAAUCUGACAAAGAUAUUACUAGGAGUGUUCGUCGUGUAUAUGUCACACACCUGCUGGGUGAUUUAUGGCUUUGUAUACACCAAGCCUUGUGAGAGAGGUAAAGGAGACUGCAUUUCUUCCUACCUUGCAGAAAGACCCCGUCUCCAGCUCAGCAUUUUCUCCAGUUUGAGGCCUGACCACAGUGAACUCAACCUCAUCAUCAAGAUAGAUGACUUUGACAUACAUUCUAAAUUUGAAAGGUAGGCCGAAGUCCCAUUUAAAUCUGCAGUCAUGUGGCGUAAAAAUAGCAUGUCACUUUUAGUCGAGUAUAAAGAUAAAGUUAUGGGUUGCAUCCCAAAUGGCACUGUAUUCCCUAUGGUCCCUGAUCUAAAGUAGUGCACUAUAUAGACACUAUGGUGUCAUUUGGGACAGAAGCCUAUAUCUCUCACCGGUCACCAUUGCUUUUCUUGAUUUAAAGGGUGGUGAAUGUAUCCCUGCCAUUGGCAACACGUAACAACGGGACUCUGCACACAUUGGUUUAUGUACACAAGUUUGGAGUGUCUCCCUUGCAGGAUAACCGGCAGGUCCAUCAUGUUGCCCAGCUCAGCACCUACAUGAUGUCCCGAGAAAAUCUCAGCUCUGCUAAAGAGGUCCUCAAAAAACAUGCUGCCACUGCUCCUCGAGUAGUAGACAGACCCAUCUCUCACUGGAGGUCCCGUCUAACCCUAAACAUGAUGUCAGAGGACUUCACCUUCAACAGAGGGACCUUGCCAAGUGAUGUCCGGCGCUACAUGAGAGUGUAAGUC